rnacentral:rRNA from 1 species
UGGCUCAGAUUGAACGCUAGCGGGAUGCCUUACACAUGCAAGUCGAACGGCAGCACGGACUUCGGUCUGGUGGCGAGUGGCGAACGGGUGAGUAAUGUAUCGGAACGUGCCUAGUAGCGGGGGAUAACUACGCGAAAGCGUAGCUAAUACCGCAUACGCCCUACGGGGGAAAGCAGGGGAUCGCAAGACCUUGCACUAUUAGAGCGGCCGAUAUCGGAUUAGCUAGUUGGUGGGGUAACGGCUCACCAAGGCGACGAUCCGUAGCUGGUUUGAGAGGACGACCAGCCACACUGGGACUGAGACACGGCCCAGACUCCUACGGGAGGCAGCAGUGGGGAAUUUUGGACAAUGGGGGAAACCCUGAUCCAGCCAUCCCGCGUGUGCGAUGAAGGCCUUCGGGUUGUAAAGCACUUUUGGCAGGAAAGAAACGUUCCGGGUUAAUACCCCGGGAAACUGACGGUACCUGCAGAAUAAGCACCGGCUAACUACGUGCCAGCAGCCGCGGUAAUACGUAGGGUGCAAGCGUUAAUCGGAAUUACUGGGCGUAAAGCGUGCGCAGGCGGUUCGGAAAGAAAGAUGUGAAAUCCCAGAGCUUAACUUUGGAACUGCAUUUUUAACUACCGAGCUAGAGUGUGUCAGAGGGAGGUGGAAUUCCGCGUGUAGCAGUGAAAUGCGUAGAUAUGCGGAGGAACACCGAUGGCGAAGGCAGCCUCCUGGGAUAACACUGACGCUCAU